rnacentral:lncRNA from 1 species
GAACAUACUCCCUCCAUUUCGAAGGGGGCGACUGAUUUUUCCGCUACCAUCCGCAUACGCAGCUUUUGCGGUUGGUAACGGUUGUCGGCGGUUUGCAACAAUCACUCAAAUCGUUCUAAACCGCUUCAAACCAUUCAGAAUCUCAUAAAUUUAAAAGUUGGCUCCAGCUAGCGUUUGCGGUUGCGAGAGGGUAAAUUUUUUUUCUUUUUAAAAAAAAAAUAUAUAUACAAAAGUAAAAAUAUUUAAUAAAAAAUUUAAAAUUGAAUUAUGAAAAUAUUAAAAUAUAUCUAUUAUAUUUUAAUUAAUAUUAUAAAAUUUUAUAAUAAAAACAAUUUCAAUAAAUU